rnacentral:lncRNA from 1 species
AUGAAAGGUGGAAAAUCACAUGGGAGCUUCAAGUUGUAUCAACUAGUACGCAGGAACAGCAAAAGAGAAGGGCUUCUUCCUGUUUGCGUUUGCUGGUGUGUUGCCUUUCCUCUACCCUUUUCAUCUUCAGCUCUUCUAACUGGUAAGUUUAAUCAACUGACGUUUAACAUAUUUGAUGAAAUAUUUGAUCUAAUUUCUAUUGACAUAAUUACUGCUAUUUGAAACUAAAGUUUUCUUUCUGUUUUUUUUAACAUUGAUUUGUUUUCCACCAUUAUUUUCAUUAUCAUGUAUCAUAUUUCUAUUCUUUCAGAGGUUAUCUUGAAACUUUACGCUAGAUCACUACAUACGUAUUUCUCAUGUAAUUCACUACAUUGAUAAUCCUGAUAAAAAAUACAAAACUCUUAGAAAACCAUUUCCCUUUGCAUAUUUAUGUCAUUACUUUCUGA